rnacentral:rRNA from 1 species
GACGAACGCUGGCGGCGUGCUUAACACAUGCAAGUCGAGCGGUAAGGCCUCUUCGGAGGUACACGAGCGGCGAACGGGUGAGUAACACGUGAGCAACCUACCCAUCACAUCGGGAUAACCCCCGGAAACGGGAGCUAAUACCGAAUACGACCACUUCAGACAUCUGACGGUGGUGGAACGCUCCGGCGGUGGUGGAUGGGCUCGCGGCCUAUCAGCUUGUUGGUGGGGUAACGGCCUACCAAGGCUUCGACGGGUAGCCGGCCUGAGAGGGUGACCGGCCACACUGGGACUGAGACACGGCCCAGACUCCUACGGGAGGCAGCAGUGGGGAAUAUUGGACAAUGGGCGAAAGCCUGAUCCAGCAACGCCGCGUGAGGGAUGACGGCCUUCGGGUUGUAAACCUCUUUCAGCAGGGACGAAGCGAAAGUGACGGUACCUGCAGAAGAAGCACCGGCCAACUACGUGCCAGCCGCCGCCGUAAGAC